rnacentral:lncRNA from 1 species
GUCAACGAAAUACGAAUGAAGCAAACAUGGUGAAGUAAGUCCAUUUGUCUUUACAUUUGUAAGCUGAAAAUAGCAGAUGGGUACGAAAGAGAGCACACUUUCCGAUUUCCAGUACUGUCACUGAAGAGGGCGUAGUAGCUAACUUGGUUGUUCGGCAAAUAAUGGAGAAACACCCCACUAGGACAAUUUUGGGCAAUUGAAAAGUCCACAAAGCCUUGUCACAAGGACGAGCGCCUGCCAUUUAUGAGGCCACUAUGUAAAGAAUGUUGACUAGUUUCAAAUCAUGGAAAACAAGCAGAGCGGGAGUCGAUAAAAGGCAACGUGUAUUUUGUUUCAUCCAUCAACGGAUUCGAAAAACAUCGAUCGAAGAUAGCAAGAAAAAAGCGUGUGAGCCCUAAGCUAGCGCCACUCUCGGGAGCCCCGCGCUGUGACACUGGUGCCGUCUCUUCCUCUGGUUUUUCUUCCUUCUCGCUGGCGGCACCUCUGUCGAAUGACAACGGUAUUCUCUGGUUUCUACAGGCUGGCCGUGGACUAUUUUAACAUAAGGGCCACAUGUACUCCUCAAAGCGGGCGUCCCACUCUUUCGCAUCAGAGCAGCAGUGUCAGCGCAUCCGGCCCUUGAGGCAGUCCUUAACCUCUGCUGACUCCGCGAGUCGCCAUUUUGGCUGUCCUCACUUUUCGGGCUGCUGCUACUGAUUUCGCUCCUACUAGACAUAUUCUCACACCUGUGUUUUUCGACUAGAGAUUGAGGUAACCGGGCACUAACGUUUCCUACCCGUGCGUUGUUCAAGUGUCGUUCUGCCAUAUUGCCACUUCUUCUGUCGCGACUACUUUUUUCCAAAUACCGGUGAGUGAGG